AAAGCAUUCUCUGGUGUUGAAGGCCCUGCAAAGCAGCAUCGCGGUGGCGGAGCGUCGUUUGCGACGCCCAACACACAAAACAAGCGGUGAAUGCUUUGGGGUGGGGUGACUGCGUACCUUUUGUAUAAUGGGUCAGCGACUUAUAUUCUGUAGCAAGGUUAACCGAAUAGGGGAGCCGGAGGGAAACCGAGUCUUAAUUGGGCGUUAAGUUGCAGGGUAUAGACCCGAAACCCGGUGAUCUAGCCAUGGGCAGGUUGAAGGUUGGGUAACACUAACUGGAGGACCGAACCGACUAAUGUUGAAAAAUUAGCGGAUGACCUGUGGCUGGGGGUGAAAGGCCAAUCAAACCGGGAGAUAGCUGGUUCUCCCCGAAAGCUAUUUAGGUAGCGCCUCGUGAAUUCAUCUCCGGGGGUAGAGCACUGUUUCGGCUAGGGGGCCAUCCCGGCUUACCAACCCGAUGCAAACUGCGAAUACCGGAGAAUGUUAUCACGGGAGACACACGGCGGGUGCUAACGUCCGUCGUGAAGAGGGAAACAACCCAGACCGCCAGCUAAGGUCCCAAAGUCAUGGUUAAGUGGGAAACGAUGUGGGAAGGCCCAGACAGCCAGGAUGUUGGCUUAGAAGCAGCCAUCAUUUAAAGAAAGCGUAAUAGCUCACUGGUCGAGUCGGCCUGCGCGGAAGAUGUAACGGGGCUAAACCAU
rnacentral:rRNA from 3 species